GACGAACGCUGGCGGCGUGCUUAACACAUGCAAGUCGAACGGAAAGGCCCUGCUUUUGUGGGGUGCUCGAGUGGCGAACGGGUGAGUAACACGUGAGUAACCUGCCCUUGACUUUGGGAUAACUUCAGGAAACUGGGGCUAAUACCGGAUAGGAGCUCCUUCUCCAUGGUGGGGGUGGGAAAGUUUCGGCGGUUGGGGAUGGACUCGCGGCUUAUCAGCUUGUUGGUGGGGUAGUGGCUUACCAAGGCUUUGACGGGUAGCCGGCCUGAGAGGGUGACCGGCCACAUUGGGACUGAGAUACGGCCCAGACUCCUACGGGAGGCAGCAGUGGGGAAUAUUGCACAAUGGGCGGAAGCCUGAUGCAGCAACGCCGCGUGCGGGAUGACGGCCUGCGGGUUGUAAACCGCUUUCGCCUGUGACGAAGCGUGAGUGACGGUAAUGGGUAAAGAAGCACCGGCUAACUACGUG
rnacentral:rRNA from 1 species